rnacentral:rRNA from 1 species
GACGAACGCUGGCGGCGUGCUUAACACAUGCAAGUCGAACGGAAAGGCUCCCUCUUGCUGGACUACACUAGUGAACAACGGAUGAAUAACACAUGAAUGACCUGUCCUGUUCUUCAUAAUAACCCUGAACAAGACUGGUUCUAAUACAGAAUAGCACCUGACCGUGAGGGCGUGUUGGAAAGUUUUUUCGGUGGAGGAUGGACCCGCGACCUAUCAGCUUGUUGGUGGGGUAAUGGCCUACCAAGGCUGUGACGGGUAGCCGGCCUGAGAGGGUGAACGGCCACAUUGGGACUGAGACACGGCCCAGACUCCUACGGGAGGCAGCAGUGGGGAAUAUUGCACAAUGGGCGGAAGCCUGAUGCAGCGACGCCGCGUGCGGGAUGACGGCCUUCGGGUUGUAAACUCCUUUCACCAUCGACGAAAGGUUUCUGAACGUAGAUGGAUAAGAAACACCGGCUAACUACGUGCCAGCAGCCGCGGUAGUACGUAAGGUGCGAGCGUUGUCCGGAAUUACUGGGCGUAAAGAGCUCGUAAGUGGUUUGUCGCGUCGUCUGUGAAAUUCCGGGGCUUAUCUCCGGGCGUGCAGGCGAUACGGGCAUAACUUGAGUACUGUAGGGGAGACUGGAAUUCCUGGUGUAGCGGUGAAAUGCGCAGAUAUCAGGAGGAACACCGGUGGCGAAGGCGGGUCUCUGGGCAGUAACUGACGCUGAGGAGCGAAAGCAUGGGGAGCGAACAGGAUUAGAUACCCUGGUAGUCCAUGCCGUAAACGGUGGGCGCUAGGUGUGGGUUUCCUUCCACGGGAUCCGUGCCGUAGCUAACGCAUUAAGCGCCCCGCCUGGGGAGUACGGCCGCAGGGCUAAAACUCAAAGGAAUUGACGGGGGCCCGCACAAGCGGCGGAGCAUGUGGAUUAAUUCGAUGCAACGCGAAGAACCUUACCUGGGCUUGACAUAUACAGGAUCGCGCCAGAGAUGGUGUUUCCCUUGUAGCUUGUAUACAGGUGGUGCAUGGUUGUCGUCAGCUCGUGUCGUGAGAUGUUGGGUUAAGUCCCGCAACGAGCGCAACCCUUGUCUUAUGUUGCCAGCACGUUGUGGUGGGGACUCGUAAGAAACUGCCGGGGUUAACUCGGAGGAAGGUGGGGAUGACGUCAAAUCAUCAUGCCCCUUAUGUCCAGGGCUUCACACAUGCUACAAUGGUCGGUACAGUGGGUUGCCAGUCCGUGAGGGCGAGCUAAUCCCGCAAAGCCGGUCUCAGUUCGGAUCGGGGUCUGCAACUCGACCCCGUGAAGUCGGAGUCGCUAGUAAUCGCAGAUCAGCAACGCUGCGGUGAAUACGUUCCCGGGCCU